rnacentral:piRNA from 1 species
UGGUUAAAACAGCUAUAACAAAACCCAAAAA